rnacentral:rRNA from 1 species
GCAACGAGCGCAACCCUUGCCAUUAGUUGCUACGAAAGGGCACUCUAAUGGGACUGCCGGUGACAAACCGGAGGAAGGUGGGGAUGACGUCAAGUCCUCAUGGCCCUUAUAGGUGGGGCUACACACGUCAUACAAUGGCUGGUACAAAGGGUUGCCAACCCGCGAGGGGGAGCCAAUCCCAUAAAGCCAGUCGUAGUCCGGAUCGCAGUCUGCAACUCGACUGCGUGAAGUCGGAAUCGCUAGUAAUCGUGGAUCAGCAUGUCAUGGUGAAUACGUUCCCGGGUCUU